rnacentral:rRNA from 1 species
GACGUAGGGUCCGAGCGUUGUCCGGAGUUACUGGGCGUAAAGGGCGCGUAGGCGGUUCCAUGCGUCCCACGUGAAAGCCCCUGGCUCAACCAGGGAGGGUCGUGGGAAACGGGGGAACUGGAGGCAGAGAGAGGCUGGUGGAAUUCCCGGAGUAGUGGUGAAAUGCGCAGAUAUCAGGAGGAACACCGGUGGCGAAGGCGGGUCUCUGGGCCGAUACUGACGCUGAGGAGCGAAAGCGUGGGGAGCGAACAGG